rnacentral:rRNA from 1 species
GGGUUGUGAGGUUAAGCGACUAAGCGUACACGGUGGAUGCCCUGGCAGUCAGAGGCGAUGAAGGACGUGCUAAUCUGCGAAAAGCGUCGGUAAGGUGAUAUGAACCGUUAUAACCGGCGAUGUCCGAAUGGGGAAACCCAGUGUGAUUCGUCACACUAUCGUUAACUGAAUACAUAGGUUAACGAGGCGAACCGGGGGAACUGAAACAUCUAAGUACCCCGAGGAAAAGAAAUCAACCGAGAUUCCCCCAGUAGCGGCGAGCGAACGGGGAGCAGCCCAGAGUCUGAAUCAGCUUGUGUGUUAGUGGAACGGUCUGGAAAGUCCGACGGUACAGGGUGAUAGUCCCGUACACCAAAAUGCACAGGUUGUGAACUCGAAGAGUAGGGCGGGACACGUGGUAUCCUGUCUGAAUAUGGGGGGACCAUCCUCCAAGGCUAAAUACUCCUGACUGACCGAUAGUGAACCAGUACCGUGAGGGAAAGGCGAAAAGAACCCCGGCGAGGGGAGUGAAAAAGAACCUGAAACCGUGUACGUACAAGCAGUGGGAGCACCUUCGGGUGUGACUGCGUACCUUUUGUAUAAUGGGUCAGCGACUUAUAUUCUGUAGCAAGGUUAACCGUAUAGGGGAGCCGCAGGGAAACCGAGUCUUAACUGGGCGUUAAGUUGCAGGGUAUAGACCCGAAACCCGGUGAUCUAGCCAUGGGCAGGUUGAAGGUUGGGUAACACUAACUGGAGGACCGAACCGACUAAUGUUGAAAAAUUAGCGGAUGACUUGUGGCUGGGGGUGAAAGGCCAAUCAAACCGGGAGAUAGCUGGUUCUCCCCGAAAGCUAUUUAGGUAGCGCCUCGUGAACUCAUCUUCGGGGGUAGAGCACUGUUUCGGCUAGGGGGUCAUCCCGACUUACCAACCCGAUGCAAACUACGAAUACCGAAGAAUGUUAUCACGGGAGACACACGGCGGGUGCUAACGUCCGUCGUGAAGAGGGAAACAACCCAGACCGCCAGCUAAGGUCCCAAAGUCAUGGUUAAGUGGGAAACGAUGUGGGAAGGCACAGACAGCCAGGAUGUUGGCUUAGAAGCAGCCAUCAUUUAAAGAAAGCGUAAUAGCUCACUGGUCGAGUCGGCCUGCGCGGAAGAUGUAACGGGGCUAAACCAUGCACCGAAGCUGCGGCAGCGACACUAUGUGUUGUUGGGUAGGGGAGCGUUCUGUAAGCCUGCGAAGGUGUGCUGUGAGGCAUGCUGGAGGUAUCAGAAGUGCGAAUGCUGACAUAAGUAACGAUAAAGCGGGUGAAAAGCCCGCUCGCCGGAAGACCAAGGGUUCCUGUCCAACGUUAAUCGGGGCAGGGUGAGUCGACCCCUAAGGCGAGGCCGAAAGGCGUAGUCGAUGGGAAACAGGUUAAUAUUCCUGUACUUGGUGUUACUGCGAAGGGGGGACGGAGAAGGCUAUGUUAGCCGGGCGACGGUUGUCCCGGUUUAAGCAUGUAGGCUGGUUAUCCAGGCAAAUCCGGAUAAUCAAGGCUGAGGUGUGAUGACGAGGCACUACGGUGCUGAAGUAACAAAUGCCCUGCUUCCAGGAAAAGCCUCUAAGCAUCAGGUAACAUCAAAUCGUACCCCAAACCGACACAGGUGGUCAGGUAGAGAAUACCAAGGCGCUUGAGAGAACUCGGGUGAAGGAACUAGGCAAAAUGGUGCCGUAACUUCGGGAGAAGGCACGCUGGUGUGUAGGUGAAGUCCCUGCGGAUGGAGCUGAGACCAGUCGAAGAUACCAGCUGGCUGCAACUGUUUAUUAAAAACACAGCACUGUGCAAACACGAAAGUGGACGUAUACGGUGUGACGCCUGCCCGGUGCCGGAAGGUUAAUUGAUGGGGUUAUCCGUAAGGAGAAGCUCUUGAUCGAAGCCCCGGUAAACGGCGGCCGUAACUAUAACGGUCCUAAGGUAGCGAAAUUCCUUGUCGGGUAAGUUCCGACCUGCACGAAUGGCGUAAUGAUGGCCAGGCUGUCUCCACCCGAGACUCAGUGAAAUUGAACUCGCUGUGAAGAUGCAGUGUACCCGCGGCAAGACGGAAAGACCCCGUGAACCUUUACUAUAGCUUGACACUGAACAUUGAGCCUUGAUGUGUAGGAUAGGUGGGAGGCUUUGAAGCGUGGACGCCAGUCUGCGUGGAGCCAACCUUGAAAUACCACCCUUUAAUGUUUGAUGUUCUAACGUUGGCCCCUUACCGGGGUUGCGGACAGUGUCUGGUGGGUAGUUUGACUGGGGCGGUCUCCUCCCAAAGCGUAACGGAGGAGCACGAAGGUUAGCUAAUCCUGGUCGGACAUCAGGAGGUUAGUGCAAUGGCAUAAGCUAGCUUGACUGCGAGCGUGACGGCGCGAGCAGGUGCGAAAGCAGGUCAUAGUGAUCCGGUGGUUCUGAAUGGAAGGGCCAUCGCUCAACGGAUAAAAGGUACUCCGGGGAUAACAGGCUGAUACCGCCCAAGAGUUCAUAUCGACGGCGGUGUUUGGCACCUCGAUGUCGGCUCAUCACAUCCUGGGGCUGAAGUAGGUCCCAAGGGUAUGGCUGUUCGCCAUUUAAAGUGGUACGCGAGCUGGGUUUAGAACGUCGUGAGACAGUUCGGUCCCUAUCUGCCGUGGGCGCUGGAGAAUUGAGGGGGGCUGCUCCUAGUACGAGAGGACCGGAGUGGACGCAUCACUGGUGUUCGGGUUGUCAUGCCAAUGGCACUGCCCGGUAGCUAAAUGCGGAAGAGAUAAGUGCUGAAAGCAUCUAAGCACGAAACUUGCCCCGAGAUGAGUUCUCCCUGAGACUUUAAGUCUCCUGAAGGAACGUUGAAGACGACGACGUUGAUAGGCCGGGUGUGUAAGCGCAGCGAUGCGUUGAGCUAACCGGUACUAAUGAACCGUGAGGCUUAACCUUACAACGCCGAAG